UGGCCAGGUGGUUAAAGCACUUGGCUGCUAACCAAAAGGUUGGUGGUUCGAACCCAUC
rnacentral:tRNA from 1 species